rnacentral:rRNA from 1 species
UACGUAGGUCCCGAGCGUUAUCCGGAUUUAUUGGGCGUAAAGCGUGCGUAGGCGGCGUACUAAGUCUAAGAUCAAAGCCCGAGGCUCAACCUCGGUUCGUCUUAGAAACUGGUAUGCUUGAGUAUGGUAGAGGCAAGUGGAAUUUCUAGUGUAGCGGUUAAAUGCGUAGAUAUUAGAAGGAACACCAGUGGCGAAGGCGGCUUGCUGGGCCAUUACUGACGCUGAGGCACGAAAGCGUGGGGAGCAAAUAGG